AUUUCUUAUACAGCAUGAAACAAAUAAUAUGAAAAUAGCGAAGAGAUUUGUCCUAAAAAUAAAUCCCAUAAGCAGCAGCAGCAGAGGACAAGGCGGCAAACAGUUAAAUUACACUCAGGAGCUGCAAUAUUCUGCUGAGUGACACAGAUGAUGGGCCAAUUAAGAGCAGCAUAUAUGGAAGAAAAGGGUUGGGUCGAGUCUGGAGAUGAAGGGGUCACCUACACCUGGCAGGCCAAAGCUGGAGACAUGACUGCACAAAUAAAGGGCCACAGGACAAGCCAAACUCCUGCAUUGCUGGAAAGUUCUAAACCUCACCCAUACAAUUAUAAACCAGGAAAGAUUAAAUGCAAAUACAGAGUCAACAGCACAAUAGGGGACAAUAGACUCCCCACUGUACACAAGCCACUUUGUUUUCUCUUGUACACAGUCUCAAACAUCAAAACAGAACAUACGACUAGCAGGGAAGGCUCUAUUAACUUAAGUUUGCAGAUUUCCCAGUGAGAAAAACUCUCUGAUUUCUAUGCUAUUUUAAGGAGAGUUCUCUCAACUACCCUAUCAGCCAAAUGAUUAAACAUUAACACAAUGCAAAUAAAAAUACUCAAGACUUUUAGUCAAUGAACCUAUUAAUGGCAUUCGUUUUUUUCUUUUUCUACAAAUGUAGCGGGCGCAGUUACAGAGGUUCCAUGUAAACGGAAAAAAAUCCCUAGCAAGACUGGCAGCUCGAGAAAACAAAGUGACAUCUGUUUAAGCGCUCACCCCUUUGCAACCAGAGGGGCCUGUUAGAAAUGCACAGCAAAAAGAUGAGAAACUUAGUGAAAAACUGGAGGUAGUUAAACGUUAAUGAGCACAAUCUGUCACUAGCAAAUAAAAAGAUUGAGGUUUAAUUAACCCUCAGCAAAAACUUA